rnacentral:rRNA from 1 species
UACGUAGGUGGCAAGCGUUGUCCGGAAUUAUUGGGCGUAAAGCGCGCGCAGGCGGUCCUUUAAGUCUGAUGUGAAAGCCCUCGGCUCAACCGAGGAGGGUCAUUGGAAACUGGAGGACUUGAGUGCAGAAGAGGAAAGUGGAAUUCCAAGUGUAGCGGUGAAAUGCGUAGAGAUUUGGAGGAACACCAGUGGCGAAGGCGACUUCUGGUCUGUAACUGACGCUGAGGCGACGAAAGGCGUGGGGAGCAAACAG